CCGAGUAGCUGGAACUACAGGCGCCCGCCAUGAUGCCCGGCUCAUUUUCUGUGUUUUCAGUAGAGACGGGGUUUCACUGUGUUAGCCAGGAAAGUCUUGAUCUCCUGACCUCGUGAUCCUGACCUCGGCCUCCCAAAGUGCUGGGAUUACAGGCGCGAGCCACCGCGCCCGACAGCAGUUAUGAAGUUCUAAAAGCAAGUCUUAAUCAGGAAGUGUCCUUGAUCACCAACGGCUCGCCCAGGCAUGCUGGCUCUCUUCCACUUCCACCUUCCACCAUGGGAUGACGCAGUAAGAAGGCCAUCAGUAGAUGCCAGUCCCUCAACCUUGAACUUUCCAGACGCAGAACUUUAUGCCUCCAUUUUCCUCUGCUGCAUGGCCCCAGGAGAGAUUUUAAUUAGCUUUCUAACCUUGGUCCAGAUUGCACAUGCAAAUGGUAGAGGAUGCAACACCCCCGCUUGUGGAGCUGCCGCUUGUGUCUGGCAUGGAUGCCCCUUCUAGAUGUUCAUGGCUCACUCCCUGCCAUGUUGUCAGGUAUUUGAGCUCUCUGUUCCCACUCAGAGUAGAUGAGCAGAAGAGGAAAUGAGGGCCUUCCCAGAGCAACUCCCCCAGAUGAACAGAGCCAGGCUGCCUGGAUUCAAUGUUAUCUUCAUUUCUUAGCUGUAUCAUCACGAGUUGUUUAAUUCCUCAGCACUUAAUUUUCUUGACCUGCAAAAAUAUGGAUCAUAAUGAUCAUUAACUAAUAAGUUUGCCAUGAGGAUUAACUGUAUAUUAAGGGCUGAUAAAAUUAUAUGUUACAAAAAAAUUCACAAGAAGAGAGGAAAUACUGAGGAGAAAAUGGCAGAUUGUGUUUGCUGAAUUUGAUUGACGAAGAAGUCACCAUGAAAAUCACAGUGAACCAUUUGGAAAGCAAACUGCCAAAAAAUAAUAGUUAGUCAUGCUCUCAGGCUGGUUGUUUUGGCUGUUGUGGGUUUCUUGCAUUUCCAGAUGAUUGCAAAGAGCUGUUUCUCAAUUUCUGCAACAAGUGCCAGCUGAAAUUUUGGUACCAGUUUCAUUAAAUAUGUAGAACAAUUUGAGCCUGAGUGAGUUCUGUGGAGCCCAUACUACCUGCGAUUCAAGCCAGCAACCUUGGAAUCUCCCUGAACAAUUUCUAUGGUGUCCAAUCACAUUUGCAAUCACUCCCCACACUCAGACUGUGUAUUUUUGGCUGCUCUCCAAGCCCUUGAGGAAAACACUUGGAGUCAAUCUCAUCCUUUUGAUGCAGUGCUGAGUAAUGAGGUAUUUCCCUGUCUAAAGAUUUUAGAAGAUGGAAAAAAGAAAAAUACAUUGCACUCUGAAACAUUCUACAUAAAAAUGGAAUGUGUGGUCAUUAGAUUAACUCAGGCUUUGGACCUCGGGGCAUAAAACCCAUUUCCUCUUACACCAGUCUCUGAAGCUUAAAGGAUUCGUUAUUUCCAGUUGCAAAUGCCAUCAGAAAAGGAUUGUUUUUCUUUCUAGUACCACCAAGAAUGUAGUUUACCAUUGUGAAUAAACUGUCUUAAGCUUUCCCCGAAUAAAAUAAAUACAAAUGCUCCUC
rnacentral:lncRNA from 1 species